rnacentral:lncRNA from 1 species
AGAAAAGGUCAUUGAAGACUUGAGAGACUUUAUUUUGAAGACUACUUCUGACAUGAAUGAGGUCCAAAAUACCCUUCAUGAAGCCAAAAUCACUGAGGCAAAAGCUAAGACAGAACAUGAGAAGGUGUGGAAGGAAAAUGUUGAGUUUAAGUCCCAAGAAAAGAAGUUACAGCAGGAAAUUGAACACCAGAAAAGAGAGUACUCAGACCUCCUGGAACAAAUCAUUAUCUUAGAAAAGACCCAGAAAGAUCUGCAAGGAGCUCAGUCUGAAAAAAUCAAUAAUAUUGCUAUAUGUUCAUCUCAGGAAUAAUGUUGGAAAUCUGCAAAAUAAAAUUAAGAGCUU